rnacentral:lncRNA from 1 species
CGGGGCCUUGGCUCACACCGAACAACAAGCUAUAUAGGGCCCUGUUCUUUCUUACGUCUCUCAUAAACAUAUUACUCGAUAUGAAUACUAAAGUUACAAUUUGCGUGUUUGCUUGUCUGUUUGGUAAGUAAAACUUCUAUACUAUUAAAUCUUAUUAUGAUAGUUGUGUUAUAGAUAAUUAAUAUUGUAAGGUUGUUCUUGUAGUAUAUAUAACACCCGUUCCAUGAUUUUUCAAAUGAGAGACAGACAAGAAGAAAACUUUAAAAUGAGCACUACCUGAUUUAUAUACUGUCUAAAAUAUUUGGUAAAGAUUUGCGGAAAAUUUUAUGAUCGUUUUACCCAAUAUAUCAAAGUGGGAUAUUGUUUCUCGUGUCGUGUCAAAGAUUCAUUUUUUAGGCGGACUUGAAAUCACUAAUCUAGAUAUAAAAGUUUGUAUAAAUCGGUAUCCAGUUGAAUUAUAGAAAAUAAUAGGUCCUUCAAACAAAAAAUACGUUUGACAUAUAUACGUAACGAUGUACUAAUUGAAUAUUUAUUUAAUGAUCUUUUAUGCAUUUAGUGAACUUAAAACUAUUGUUAGAUCGGUUGUCAGAUGGAAUUUUUUAAAGUUGAAAAAUAUUAAAAGAAUUCUAAUUUAACAUUUCAAGCGAAUGCAGACUAACAAUAUUAUAAAGUAUGUCCUGAAGUACUUAAAAAUCGUUAUUCGACCAAAUCUACUAUGUUAUUAUGACUUACUAAAAGGGUAUUUUACUUGACCCAUAUAUUUAAUUUUUUAGUACUGUACAUUUUUUAAUAUUAUGAAAUCAACCUGUAGCCUUAAUAUAUACAAAAAUUAGAAUCUGAAGUGAGAUGAUGUAUCAAAUAUGUUUGCUUUAUAAGUUUUCAAUACAUAAAAGUCAACUUAAACACCAUGAACAAGUCCAACAUUGAAAGUUGCACUAGACUAUGUCCGUGUCUGUUGUGACGUUUUUGAUUUAAACGAACGCAACCUAUGUAUUACUGGUAAAUUAUUAAACCAGGGAUAUCGUUACCAUAAAUUACUUAAAACCUUUACUUAAUUUUUCCAUAGAUAUAAAGAUUUGGUUUUGAAGUUUGGUUGUCCUGUAGAAAACUUAUUUCAAACGGGAUAGCACAUCCUUAUUUUUACGGAAAUAUUGUUAACCGUGCCCGGAAAUUUAGAAAUGAUCCAUGUAAACUUGUUGCUCCUUUAAAUAAACUUAUUCUUAAAGGUUGCCUAUUCAACACUGUGAUAAGAUCAUUGAAUAUUGUUUUUAUUGGUAUAAAUAUUGACUUUGUUAGAUUGUAAAUAUUACUAGUAUGUUAUAUAUACUGUGACAUAUACAUUUUCAUGGAUCUACUAUCUGUCGAUACCUGUAACUUGGCAUUGCACAAGGUCAUGUUUUUCUCUGGCUGUUAAUGACGUCUUUACACUAAAACCAUUGUAUGUUGGAUGUGUACGGAUUGAUUGCUUAGUCUUAGAGCCAUGAUUUUUUUUAUUAGUUGUUAAUGACUUUGAACUAGCUGUCAGAUAACUGCGAGUACUCUCAGAUCUGUUCAUUGUGUCUUUUUGUGUCGGGUUGUAUAAGUACCCGUCCACGUCCACUUUUAUUUUGUUGUCUAUCUGAUGAGCUGAGCCUUUUUCAACUGAUUUUUAUAGUUCGUUCUUAUGUUGUACUGUUAUACCACUGUCCCAGGUUAGGAGGAGGGUUGGGAUCCCGCUAACAUGUUUAACCCCGCCACAUUAUUUAUGUAUGUGCCUGUCCCAAGUCAGGAGCCUGUAAUUCAGUGGUUGUCGUUUGUUUAUGUGUUACAUAUUUGUUUUUCGUUCAUUUUUUUUUACAUAAAUAAGGCCGUUAGUUUUCUCGCUUGAAUUGUUUUACAUUUCUUAUCGGGGCCUUUUAUAGCUGACUAUAUGCAGUAUGGGCUUUGCUUAUUGUUGAAGGCCGUACGUUGACCUAUAAUUUUUAAUGUUUGUGUCAUUUUGGUCUUUUGUGGAUAGUUGUCUCAUUGGCAAUCAUACCACAUCUUCUUUUUUAUAUUAGACUACCUUUUCGAAUUUUUUUAGCCCAUUUUCAGAAUUUUCCGCAAAGAACUGCUGCCGGGUUCAGAGAUGCAAAUUGAUGCUUUAAAAGGGUCUAGUUAAUAUCUUUUUGUUGAUUUUUUGUCGGUGGAAUUUAUGCUUAUACACAAAAAAGAUCACUUGUAAUUUUACCUUACAUAAUCGACUAAAAGUCUAUUUUUUUAAGGUUUGUCGAUAAUUUAAAAGUUUACCAAUAUUGCGAAGUUACAUAUUUUAAUUUAAGCCGUGGUGCAGUCAGUUUAUUUUCGAUCUAUGAGUUUGACUGUCCCUCUGGUAUUUUUUGUCCCUUUUAAGUAUACAUCAUUAAUUAUACACCAUUAUUUAAACUCUUAAAGCCCAUAGAAACAGACAUUAACAAUGAAAAAAACCUUAUUUCGCGUUUUAAAAUAGGGACGAAAGAUACCCGUGGGACAUUCAAACUCAUAGUUAGAAAAUAAAGUGACAACGCAAUGGCUGAAAAAGACAAACAGACAGAGAAUAGUACACACGACACAACAUAGAAAACUACAUGCUAAGCAAAACGAACCCCAACAAAACUGGGGGUGAUCUGAGGUGCACCGGAAGGGUAAGCCGAUCAUUCUCCACAUGUGAUAACCUUCAUGUCUUUGCCAAAGGUUCACAUUAUAAUAAUUAUUUGAAUGUACUAUUGUUUUCAAUUCAUCUUACAAUGCAUUCAUUGUAAACGUCCAAAAAGCAUUUCGCACGGAACUGUACUAAUAUGAAACUAUCUUAUUUAUAUUUUGGAUGCACUUUGAAACCUAGAAAGAAUCCUUAUUUGGUACAUAUUUUAACAAGAUCAUACUAUAAUAAACAUAGCUGUAUGUAGUAAGUUUCAAGUUUAUGUGACCAAACCCCAAAAAGAGACUGGGACGAAUAAUUUUUUAUAAUACAGGUGAAGUCUAUAUCAUGUUAAUCGAAAGCAUGAUAUACGAGUAAAUUUGUGUUUUGGCAUGUGUGCAUUAGUAUAAUGAAACAUUUUAUUUCAGCCUUUGUCAUUGGCCAACAGGAAACAUGUAUGACUUCAGGCGAUUGUCAAGUUGUCCAUUGUCAGAGAACUGGAGCAACUUCCAUAUGUGUUCAAGGCUUGUGCAUUUGUGUGAUACGAUCUGACUACAGUAAGUUUUUAUACGCCCGUCAAAAUUUUGACGGGACGUAUUAUGGUAUACAAUUGUCCGGCGUCCGUCUGUCCGUCUGUCCGGCGUAAACAUGUCGCAACGUAACUUGCGAACGACUCGUCCAAAUCAUGAAACUUGUUUCUUAUAAUGGUCAAACGUUCUGUAUACUUUUUGUUGAAAAAAAGAUUAAAACUUUUUUUAAGUUACGGGACUUUGUAUCUAAAACUGGGGGGGGGGGGUGUUUGUUUUCCACAUGUUGCGCUGUAUCUCAGAAACUAUUUAUGACAAUUGCUUAAAACUUUACAAGGCUCUUAGUUAUAAUAAUCUAAAGAUCUGAUUAUUUUUGGUGAUGAUUCAAAAACUUAUUUUUUAGUUUUGAGUAUUUAGUAAGAAAGGGGGAUGGGAUUUUAACAUGUCGCGCCAUAUCUCAAAAACGAUUUAUGAUUUUUGCUUAAAACCUUACACACUUAUUAGUUAUAUUAAUCUAAAGAUCUGUAUACCUUUUGGUUCUGAUUCAAAAUUUUAUUUUAGAAAUAUUGAGUUUUUUUGUUAAGAAAAAGGGGGGCUUUCACAUGUCACACUGUAUCUCAGAAAUAAUUUAUCAUUAAUGCUUACAAUUUCACACACUUCUUAGUUAUAAUUAUCUUAAAUAAGAUCUGUCUACUUUUUGUGAUCAUCAUGAUUCAAAAUUUUAUUUAGAAAUAUUUGGUUUUCACAUGUCACGCUUUGAGAGAAAUAUGAUAGACAAAGACAUAAACAAAUAUCUCUUGCCAUAUCUCAAAAACAAUUUAUGAUUAUUGCUAAAAACCUUACACACUUAUUAGUUAUAUUAAUCUAAAGAUCUGUAUACCUUUUGGUUCUGAUUCAAAAUCUUAUUUUAGAAAAGACAUGAAAAAAUAUCUCUUACAAAUAGAUACAUGUCCCGGAAAGGUACAAGCCAAUCCUAAACUACACAAAGCUAUUGGUUCCCAUCUAGGCAUGAAAUAUGCUUGCACCUACCUCGGACAAUGGGAAGACGAUAGUUUUCAAAACAGCAAUUUACAACCCUUUUCAUAUUGGAGAAUGUUGAUGACAUCUGGGGGAUAUGGGAACAUAGAUGAAUUAAAAAUUCAAGAAAUGUCAAACAGUUUGCAUCCGAAUUAAAACAGAAAUGCGGUACUCAACUGAAAAAAUAGAAUUCCUUGAUGUGUUUGUACACAUAGAAAACGGACAACUUAAAACAGAUCUUUACACAAAAUCAACAGAUAAACACCAGUACUUACACGUGUCGUCAAACCAUCCAAACUCUGUAAAAAUGCUAUACCAUAUGGACUCGGUUUUCGUGUCAAAAGAACUUGCUCAACAGAAGAAGAUUACAAAACAAGAAGAGAAGAAAUAAAAAACGCACCUAAGAAAACGUGGAUACAUUAACUCGUCCACUGAAGUUCAAUUGAAAAAAGUCGACAAUUUAAACCGAGAAGAUCUAUUACAGUACAAACAAAGAAAAAGAAAACAACAGGGUACCUUUAGUAAUUUAUUUUUCCAAAGCGCUUUCAAAUGUACUUUCAAUUUUUAGAAAAAAUCUUAAAAUUCUCCAUCAAUCCGAAAGACUAAAGAAAAUGUUCCCCGAUCCGCCUAUCGUGGCAUUUAAACGAUAUAACAACAUAAUAAAAUUAACGGUACCAAUUUUCUUGCACCAGAUGCGCAUUUCGACAAUACAUGUCUACUCAGUGAUGCUCGUGGCCAAAAAAUUUGAAAUCCAAAGCUUAUAUAAAAGAUGAAGAGCUAUAAUCCGAAAGGUCCAAAAAGUAUAGCCAAAUCCGUGAAAGGAAUCAGAGCUUUGAAUGAGGGAGAUACAUUCCUUAAUUUAUAAUAAUUUCUAAUAUUUUGUAACAGCAAAUUUUAAUGAUACCAAAAAAUCCGUAUUUUCAUGCCAGUACCGAAGUACUGGCUACUGGGCUGGUGAUACCCUCGGGGACUUAUAGUCCACCAGCAGAGGCAUCGACCCAGUGGUAGUAAUAAAAUUAACGGUACCAGUUUUCUUGCACCAGAUUCGCAUUUCGACAUUACAUGUCUCUCCAGUGAUGCUCGUGGCCAAAAUAUAUGAAGAAUAUAACCGAAGAACUGGCUACGUACUUGGCUGGUGAUGCUCGUGGCCAAAAUAUUUGAAAUCCAAAGCUUAUAUUUAAGAUGAAGAGCUACGUAUAAUCCAAAAGGUCCAAAAAGUAUAGCCAAAUCCGUGAAAGGAAUCAGAGCUUUGCAUGAGGCAGAUACAUUUCUUAAUUUAUAAUAAUUUCUAAUAUGCAAAUUUUAAUAACCGUAUUUACUUGCCAGUACCGGAGUACUGGCUACUGGGCUGGUGAAUACCCUCGGGGACUUAUAGUCCACCAGCAGAGGCAUCCACCCAGUGGUAGUAAUAAAAUUAACGGUACCAAUUUUCUUGCACCAGAUUCGCAUUUCGAUAAUACAUGUCUCUCCAGUGAUGCUCGUGGCCAAAAUAUAUGAAAAUCCAAAGCUUAUAUAAAAGAUGAAGACAUAUAAUCCAAAAGGUCCAAAAAGUAAAGCAAAAUCCGUGAAAGGAAUCAUAGCUUUGCAUGAGGGAGAUACAUUCCUUAAUCUAUAAUAAUUUCUAAUAUUUUGUAACAGCAAAUUUUAAUAACACAAAAAAAUCCGUAUUUUCAUGCCAGUACCGAAAUACUGGCUACUUGGCUGGUGAUACCCUCGGGAACAUAUAGUCCACCAGCAGAGGCAUCGACCCAGUGGUAGUAAAAAAAUUAACGUUACCAAUUUUCUUGCACCAGAUGCGCAUUUCGACAAUACAUGUCUCUUCAGUGAUGCUCGUGGCCAAAAUAUUUGAAAUCCAAAGCUUAUAUUAAAGAUGAAAAGCUAUAAUCCAAAAGGUCCAAAACGUAUAGCCAAAUCCGUGAAAGGAAUCAGAGCUUUGCAUGAGGCAGAUAUAUUUCUUAAUUUAUGAUAAUUUCUAAUAUGCAAAUUUUAAUAACCGAAGAACUGGCUACGUACUUGGCUGGUAAUACCCUCGGGGACUUAUAGUCCACCAGCAGAGGCAUCCACCCAGUGGUAGUAAUAAAAUUAACGGUACCAAUUUUCUUGCACCAGAUUCACAUUUCCACAAUACAUGUCUCUCCGGUGAUGCUCGUGGCCAAAAUAUUUGAAAUACUCAAGAACCUGAAGGAUUCAACACAAUGUAUGAACGGUAAAUGACAUCUUCGUGCACAAAAAGCACAAAAACUUUAGAACCUGAAGGACUCAACACAAUGUAUAUACGAUAAAAGACAUCUUAGUGCACAACAAGCAUAAUUUACUAUUUUAUAAACAAACUCAUGGAUGUGGACCAUGUGGUAAACAUUGUGCAUUAUGCUCACAUAUAAAUGAAACCAAGGUAUUUUGUAACAACACCGGCAAAGAAUAUACCAUUCAGGGACAAAUAAAUUGUAAAACAGUAGGCGUGAUAUAUGCGAUUAAUUGUACAAAAUGUGAAAAAGUUAUAUAUGUAAGACAAACGGGUAAUACACUAUAUCAACGAAUGCUAUUGAACUUUUCAAAAAAAAAAAAGAACAAAGAAAACAUAAGAUCCAGUAGCCAAUCAUUUCAUUCAGAACAAUCAUUCAAUGACAAAUUUAAAAAUUACCGCCAUAAAAAGAGUAUUUGGAACAGAAACUUACAGAAAAACCAAAGAAGCCUUUUGGAUGAAAAAAAUAAAAACUUUAAAAAAUUAUAACGUAAUGUAUCCAAGCGAUGUUAUUGUUGUUUCAAUGCUGUAAUUUAUUCCAAUUAGAAGGUCGAAACGUAUGGAAAUUUGUGAUAUACCUUUUUCGAAUCCCGGCGAGGGAAGAACCAAAAAUUUGCGAAAGCAAAUUUACAGAUCUAACAUUGUUGGGUUGAUGUUUAGACGAGUUGUAUAUACAUUAUGUACACAGCCAUGUAUCACCAUCAUUGAUGGCGAUCCGAUGGAUACAUCUGUUGUAGGGUUGUCACUGACUCAGACGUACCUUUUAUUAUAUAUAUAUACGUAGUAGUACGACGCUAGAUUAAAACUGACGAGGAAAGGUAACACACGGCCACCGAAAGCUUUAUUAUUGUAGAGCCCAGGUGGUCAUGUGGUCUAGCGGGACGGCUGCAGUGCAGGCGAUUUGGUGUCACGAUAAUUAUCACAGUAGAAUGGGUUCGAAUCCCGGCGAGGGAGGAACAAAAAAAUUUGCAAAAGCAAAUUUUCAGAUCUAAAAUUGUUGGGUUGAUGUUUAGACGAGUUGUUUAUACAUAAUGUACACAGCCAUGUAUCACCAUCAUUGAUGGCGAUCCAAUGGAUAAAUCUGGUGUGGAGUUUUCACUGACUCAGUCGUACUUAUAAAUAUAAUUAUUUUCUGUGACUGUUUCUUACAUUAAUUUGUAGGAUCCUUUACUAUAGAUAAUUGAGCCGAUCUGUAACAAAAACAUCUCCAUGCCUUGUAUAUCCUGUACUGUAGUACGCCGCUAGAUUAAAACUACGAGGAAAGAUAACACACGCCACUGAAAGCUUUAUUUUGUGAAGCCAAGGUGGUCGUGUGGUCUAGCGGGACGGCUGAAGUGCUGGCGAUUUGGUGUCACGAUAUCUCAGAAGCAUGGGUUCGAAUGCCGGCGAGGGAAGAACAAAAAAAUAUGCGAAUUUUUUUUACAGAUCUAACAUUGUUGGGUUGAUCUUUAGACGAGUUAUAUAUAUAUAUGCAUAUAUAGACAAUAAUAGUGCAUUGACUUGACAUAUCAACGAUUAAGGAUGAGGCUUAGACACGGGGAAAUGCGAGGCUGUGCCACUAUUAUUGUCUUUAUACUGCAAUCUAAAAAAACAUUUUCAAUUGUUGUUUUAUGCGUUUAGGUUAUUUAUUUGAUUAAAAUUUUGGGAUUUUAAAUAUUGGGAAAAAUCCCCUUUAAAAAGGCCUCAAAUUAUGCUCGCAGAGAUAUUAACAACACAAUGAAAUUUACAUUUACCUGGUGAAACCAACACUCGAUGGUGAACGAAAUCGUUUGAGUAUGGAAUUAACUAUCAACCAUAAGCAUAAAACAUAAUGAUUUAUAGGUUGCAAAUAAAAAAUAUUAUCAAAUUAAAUAUGUUUCUCUAAUAACUGCAAAAGAAACAAGAUUGAGUCGUUUCACGCAUCGUUAUAUGCAUUGGAAGCAAGAACAGGUUGAAGAGUUCGUAUAAAUAAUUCAAUAUCAUUUUGGAAAUUUCUAUUUAAAUAUUUAUGAGGAAAAGUAAUAUCGGGUCAGUGACUGUAUAUGACAAAGAAAUAUAGGGUCAACGCAUUUUGACUGCUCAAAUAGAACGAGUGCAGUAUAAACAUAUACAUAUAUACUAGAUCAAUAUAGAAUUGGAAAUUCUCAUAUGACGCUCUACUUAAACUUUGGGUACAAAGCCAUGUUCUAAUUUGAAUAGAGUAUGGGCUGCACGUGAUUGACGUCACAAUUGAAAUUGUAACGUCAGAUUAAUUUUAAACAACGCCAAAGAUCAAACUGGCCAUUUUGUUGGUGUUGCUCGCUAGGAAAUUAAAUAAAAACAUUCUAAAAGUAAGUUUAAAUGUUUCUGUUCUUUUUAUUAUUGAUAAACUGUUGAUUUUUCUAUAACGUUUUUGUUCAUCAAAUCAAAAUGGCGACAUUUCGAGUGUUUACUAUAGGUCCGCUUUGAAGUACAAAAGUUCAAAAUAUCCUAUUAGAUUCGAAAAAAUUCUAUCAUGGGAUGCUCUAUGCUCUUUUUAACAUGGGUAGGCAUUAUAUUUGUAAAUAAUUAAUACCUCGCUAACGCUCGGUAUUAAGAUAUUUUACAAAUAUAAUGUCUACCCAUGUUAAAAUGAGCAUAGAUCAUGGCAUGAAAUAAUUAUUUCUUAAGUUUACAUUUGGGAAGCCGAAAUCAUCUCUUUUGUUAUAUAGUUUUGUUUUCCCCUAUACGUAAAUUUUUACAUGCAAGUCAAUAUAUAUAUGAGACAGACUAAACUAUAUAUGUUGUAUCCUUUAUCUGAAGCUGAUAAGUUAAUGCGUUCAACUGCCACCAAACAUUAGUAUUUAGAUGGAUGACAUCAUCUUUCUAGCGGGAAGUGAAGUUAACGGAUAGUGCUUACUUCUUCUUUUUCCUCAUAAGAAACUCGUGUAUGAAAUCAGCCUCAUAUAAAGUUGCAAGUCCGAAUGAUGAGUAGCAUGAUAGGUUCAAAUGUGUGUUAAAAAACACGUCUUUCAAACGUAACACAUAUUUUGUCUAUCAAGAAAUCAAACAACUUCAUAAUGUCAGUUUCAGAUAAUCUUUUAUUUGAAUCAGAUAUGUUUUACUAAGUACGACGUACCCCUUCCUUAGACAAUAUUCUUGUAUCUAAGUUGGCUGUUUUGUUUUAUGAACUAAAGCAGGACCAACUCUUCAAUUUAUCUUUUAGUUUGAAAUGGAACAAAAAUAACUUCUGUAAAACUUAGUAAAGUCAAAUGUUUUAAAACAGUUGUAAACCUGAGUUUGUAUGUACUCUAAAGAAUUUGGAAUUUGUAGUUUCAACAUCUAUUUCACGCAACCUCUACAAUAGGUAGUUUCACAAUAAAGUUUAAACCCGGCUUUGAUUGUUGAUUAAGGUGAUCUAAAAAAUUAUGAAGAGGCUUCGUGGAGCACCAAGAUAUAAACCAGCAACACAACGUUGUAUGUAAGGACACUCGUGUAAUUUAUGAAACUAAAACAGUAUACUAGGAAGAUCCAGUUCUUUAUCUUUGGUUAAAAUUCCACAUACCAGACAUAUCGUUAUCCAGAAUUCCCUCCUUGGUAAGUGUCGUGCUAGUUACCUUAUGUAUUAUCAAUCUGUCACUUUAAGGUGUUACUUAAGUAGAAAACAAAACAUUUCUCAUAAAAGUAAGUCAGGCCCUGCGGUCAUAAAACUUUUGAGAACGAUUUUUGUACUCAGAAUAAAAAAUCAACCAAUCAAAAUACUGGAUUUUGUGUUUUGAGCACUUGUUUGUUCUCAAAGUACUGAGUAAAGUUUUAUGACCGAGAGACCAGGUGUUGUGCAAUAUGUGAUUCAUUAAAAAUUAGUGUAGCAUGAUAACAGAAAUUUAAGGUGGAACCUAAAACAACAGGAAGAUAACUCUGUAAAGUCAGUAAACGUUUUAAUAACGUUGUGUUGUAAAGGGAAUAAUAAGCUUCUUAAUGAUCAAAAUUAGUGUUUGUCAAACUGCUAUAUAACCAGUGUAAUUUUUCCGACAAAACGGUUGGUGUAAAAUUUUUGAAAUUUUUAUAAUAUUGUUAAAGUGUUAAAGUAAAUACUUUGUCAAAAUUUAAUCAAAAUUAAACGAGCCAAAUUAAUUGUAGUGAAAGUGUAAGGUACCACCUUAAACAGAAAAAUAAAGUAUGUCAUCACAACUUUUCUUUUGUAGCUUGUACAUCUAAAGCAGAGUGUGAGGGUAUUCCCGACUUCUGUGAACAACGUUUUGUACACUGUCAUGAUGGCCAUUGCAUUUGUGUUUUCAUUUUUGAAACAGGCCUAGGAAAAAAGAGAUAAAUCGAACUAGAUGAACUAGACUAUACAAGUUGACAAUCAAUAAGAUAAUCACAUUAAUUAUAUAUAUGUAUUAUUAAAUUAUGACAGUUU